ensembl:lncRNA
UCUUUCCUUCCCUUUGUUUCCUCUGUGGUAGACCUGGGAGCUGUUUUCUACAACAACACAGAAACACCAGCUACACAUUAGCUGGCUAAUGAGACACCUGAUGAGAGCAUGAAACUCAACUUAAUGUGAUUUUCUUGAGGCUUCCAUCUUGGCUUUGAAAAUGUGAAGCACCAUCUCUCCAAUCAGAUGGUAAUUAAUGAAGAGACCACACAAUUGGGCAAUGUGUAGUGAAAGACCUUAACACACUCAGUCAUACAUGGGAUUUCUUCAUCCAACCUCUUCCCUGACGUCCACAUCGAUCUAUGCGAAAGAGAGAGUGAGAAGAUAGUAAAAGUCAGAAAGAGUGGACCACAUCAAGAAAACGGAAUCUUCUGAACACAAAAGGUACAGUGGGCAAAGCUGCUUCAAGGUCUUACUGCCUUUACUUCACCAUCAUGGUGGACUACGAGUUAAAAUAAAUGUUUUCUCUCUCAA